AGCCGCGCGUUGAGCACAUAGCGAACUAUUCUAUCAUCUUUUACUAAAGAAUACUAUGUGUUUGUCGCUAUAAAGUGGCAUACACUAUUUUUUGGAAGGCCGAAAUAAAUUGAAAU